rnacentral:rRNA from 1 species
AGCAGCCGCGGUAAUUCCAGCUCCAAUAGCGUAUAUUAAAGUUGUUGCAGUUAAAAAGCUCGUAGUUGAAUUUCAGGCCUGGCUGGACGGUCCGCCCUUCGGGUGAGUACUGUCUGUGGUCGGGUCCUACCUUCUGGCGAAGCGUCAUGGCCUUAACCGGCCGUGGCGGGGAACCAGGACUUUACUGUGAAAAAUUAGAGUGUUCAAAGCAGGCAAAUCGCUUGGAUACAUUAGCAUGGAAUAAUGGAAUAGGACGAUGGUUCUAUUUGUUGGUUUCUAGGACCGUUGUAAUGAUUAAUAGGGAUAGUUGGGGGCAUUAGUAUUCAAUUGUCAGAGGUGAAAUUCUUGGAUUUAUUGAAGACUAACUACUGCGAAAGCAUUUGCCAAGGAUGUUUUCAUUAAUCAAGAACGAAAGUUAGGGGUAUCGAAGACGAUCAGAUACCGUCGUAGUCUUAACCAUAAACUAUGCCGACUAGGAAUCGGGCGAUGUUGACAAAAUGACGCGCUCGGCACCUCAUGG